GGGUCAGUAUGUUGGUCGUGCUUCGGUACGUACUGUCAUUACUGGUUUCUCCCUUCUGAAGAACCUUGAUGUCAUUAAUUUGGUGUCUUGGGGAAUCAGGACUGUUACUUUGAAAAAAUUAGAGUGUUUAAAGCAGGCAUACGCUUGAAUACAUUAGCAUGGAAUAAUGAAAUAGGACGUUUGAUUCUAUUUUGUUGGUUUCUAGGAUCGACGUA
rnacentral:rRNA from 1 species